AUUGAACGCUGGCGGAAUGCUUUACACAUGCAAGUCGAACGGCAGCACGGGAGCUUGCUCCUGGUGGCGAGUGGCGAACGGGUGAGUAAUGCGUCGGAACGUACCGAGUAAUGGGGGAUAACGCAGCGAAAGCUGUGCUAAUACCGCAUAUUCUGUGCGCAGGAAAGCAGGGGACCGCAAGGCCUUGCGCUCUUUGAGCGGCCGAUGUCAGAUUAGCUAGUUGGUGAGGUAACGGCUUACCAAGGCGACGAUCUGUAGCGGGUCUGAGAGGAUGAUCCCCCACACUGGUACUGAGACACGGACCAGACUCCUACGGGAGGCAGCAGUGAGGAAUAUUGGACAAUGGGCGGGACCUGAUCCAGCCAUGCCGCGUGCAGGUAAACGGUCCUAAUGGAUUGUAAACUGCUUUUGACGGAAGAACAAGGGGCACGUGUGCCCCUUGACGGUACCGUAAGAUAAGGAUCGGCUAACUCCGU
rnacentral:rRNA from 1 species